ensembl:lncRNA
CAGACACAGGCUGUCUGCCAGCCUGGAUUUUUCUAGCUCAUAGCUUCGCCCUGCUAGGAAGCGUGUGUUCUUGUACAAAGGCCGUUCAGCGUCGGGAUUUACACUCGGCUCGACACGGAUAUGUGAAGAAUGAAGGGACCCUGCAGCGAAACGGAGAGCCAACCUCUGACUGAGUGCCUGUCAACACAGUCUGACCACCUGUUGAAGGGCUGUUUGAUGACGAUUUGGACUCCUCUGGGAGAUGAGGACACACCCACAUCUGUUCCAUACUGCAGCCAUGGAUGGUGUUACAGCUCUGAGUCAGCUUUGGGCCAUCAGACGCACACACUGGAAAACCAGCGCCUAUACUUCAUGCAGGAGAGACGGCCUCAGUGAUCCAGGGUGCCCGGGUAAUGAAGGAAAUGAGUUUGCCGACUAGAGAAAAAUCAACCGAGAGCGUGAGCGAAGGUUACCGAAGAAAAAACAGAUGAUGGUUCCAAUGCCGGAGAGCUUGUCGAACGGAAGGGCCACAGAAGUUCCGUAGUGUGAAGGGAAUUAAAAGGAACGGACUUCAGCGUGAACGACCAGUUCCCCAAAGAGAUCCUGGAACGACGCAGGGUUCUCUUCCCAAUCCGACGCGGCUUCAUCCAGAAGGGCUCCCGCGCUGUCAUCGCUGUGGACCGGCUGUACGUGGACGGACAGCUCCACCGCGACCCCGACAUCACUCCGUGGCUGUAUUAACUUCACACCAGAUAAGAAUCCGCUACACCCUUUCCCCAUCCACUCACACUAACUUGCAUUAACAUCUGUUUAACUUACCAAUAUCAAAUCGCAUCUUAGGUGUGAUAUCAUAGCAGAAGUAACACGUCACUCUCCGUCAAUGGUUUGAUUGGAAUGUUUCCAGGUUUUUUUUUUUCUCGUUUUUUUCCCUCUCUUUUUCCCCUCUUGUUUUUAUGCUGUUAAUUGUCCUUGGUUUCUUUCUUUUUUCUUUCUUUCACUGCUUCGAUCACCUGCUUCCACACUCAUCCACAAACAACAUCCUUUAUUUCGAUACAUACGCACAGCACGAUCACGCACAGUCAUGCGCUCAACGGCAGCACAUUUACAUCAGUCAGACAGCGCACACAGACCUACAGGAUACACACACUUAAGCCAAGCAUACUCAUAUUAGUAAAUAUGCAAACACAUAGUCAGAUUCAAGGAGCAUCUCAUCACACAUUUUUUCUCUCUCUCCUUCUCUGUAUUUAUGAACAAGUGAUGUACUCUCUCCACCUGUCUAAGCAACACACACAGCGCACACCCCUAGUUAUACACAGACAUCUAUGGGUGCACUAAGAUUCAUUACAUGGAAUGUAAAUGGAGCUGGC